AUUGAACGCUGGCGGCAUACUUUACACAUGCAAGUCGAACGGCAGCGCGGGCUUCGGCCUGGCGGCGAGUGGCGAACGGGUGAGUAAUAUAUCGGAACGUACCCAAGAGUGGGGGAUAACGUAGCGAAAGUUACGCUAAUACCGCAUACGAUCUAAGGAUGAAAGCAGGGGAUCGCAAGACCUUGUGCUCCUGGAGCGGCCGAUAUCUGAUUAGCUAGUUGGUGAGGUAAAGGCUCACCAAGGCAACGAUCAGUAGCUGGUCUGAGAGGACGACCAGCCACACUGGAACUGAGACACGGUCCAGACUCCUACGGGAGGCAGCAGUGGGGAAUUUUGGACAAUGGGGGCAACCCUGAUCCAGCAAUGCCGCGUGAGUGAAGAAGGCCUUCGGGUUGUAAAGCUCUUUUGUCAGGGAAGAAAAGGUCGUGGCUAAUAUCCACGACUGCUGACGGUACCUGAAGAAUAAGCACCGGCUAACUACGUGCCAGCCGCCGCGGUAAGAC
rnacentral:rRNA from 1 species